CCCUGUACUGUGCACUCUGCAUACUGAGCCCUUCCUAGGAGUCAGGCCCUGUACUGUGCACUCUGCAUACUGAGCCCUUCCUAGGAAUCAGGCCCUGUACUGUGCACUCUGCAUACUGAGCCCUUCCUAGGAGUCAGGGCCUGUACUGUGCACUGUGCAUACCGAGCCCUUCCUAGGAGUCAGGUCCUGUACUGUGCACUCUGCAUACUGAGCCCUUCCUAGGAGUCAGGCCCUGUACUGUGCACUGUGAAUACUGAGCCCUUCCUAGGAGUCAGGCCCUGUACUGCUCACUGUGCAUACUGAGCCCUUCCUAGGAGUCAGGUCCUGUACUGUGCACUGUGCAUACUGAGCCCAUCCUAGGAGUCAGG